CAAGGUUACAGCUUUUCUCUGACCUUGGUUUGGUAAAAGCUGCCACCACCCAAAUGCAAAAAAACUCCUUGGACCCAGGAAGGAGCACUUGGGAAUUCCUGCCUGUGGGGUACCUCAAGCCCUUACACACACACACACACACAGAAGAGCUGAGAAAGAAAACAAAGGAAAUUAGCUGUUGCUACCAGCUAAUCAAACAACAUGCACAAACCCCUUAGGACACCAAUAAUCCAAUCCUGUUCUUAAAAAAGGUACAUUUUAUUA